GAGUUUGAUCUUGGCUCAGAUUGAACGCUGGCGGCAUGCCUUACACAUGCAAGUCGAACGACGCUAGGGGCAACUCUAGCGAGUGGCGAACGGGUGAGUAAUACAUCGGAACGUGUCCUGUCGUGGGGGAUAACCAGUCGAAAGACUGGCUAAUACCGCAUGACCUCGCAAGAGAAAAGCGGAGGACCGCAAGGCUUCGCGCGAUUGGAGCGGCCGAUGUCGGAUUAGCUAGUUGGCGGGGUAAUGGCCCACCAAGGCGACGAUCCGUAGCUGGUUUGAGAGAACGACCAGCCACACUGGGACUGAGACACGGCCCAGACUCCUACGGGAGGCAGCAGUGGGGAAUUUUGGACAAUGGGGGCAACCCUGAUCCAGCCAUGCCGCGUGUGUGAAGAAGGCC
rnacentral:rRNA from 1 species